CGUCUCUUCAAUUAGACCCACGCUAGGGUUGCUCGCCGCAAACCCUAAACCCUAAAAAUCUCUCGAUCUCGCUCUCGCUCUCCCCCUCUUUCUCCCCUUCCGCCUCUUCGAUCUCGAUGAUUCCGAUGGUUCGUCCACCAUCGCAGAUCUUCACAAUCUCGAAGGAAUCUCGAAGGCUUAGCUUGAUUGAGGCCCAUUUGAUAAAGUCGGGAUAAAAGUAUAUGCAGAUAAAUUUCUGCAUUCUCUGAUGAGAUUAUAAAAAAUAUAUCGUAACUGACGCAUCUAUAAUAUUACAUACAAAAAUAAAUAAAAUAUUUUAACCGAUUCAUCGCGAUAUAUAAAAUACGUACAAACAUUUUUAUCGCACAAUAUGUAAUAUUUCGGCGGUGGCAAACGAAAUCUAACACACAUGGAAAUUUACUAUACUAUACACUGAAAAAAAAAAAAAAGCUUUGUAAGCAAUGCAUGGCA